AUUGAGCGCUGGCGGCAUGCCUUACACAUGCAAGUCGAACGGCAGCAUGGAGAGCUUGCUCUCUGAUGGCGAGUGGCGAACGGGUGAGUAAUGCAUCGGAACGUACCGUGUAAUGGGGGAUAACGUAGCGAAAGUUACGCUAAUACCGCAUACGACCUGAGGGCGAAAGCAGGGGAUCGCAAGACCUUGCGUUAUACGAGCGGCCGAUGUCAGAUUAGCUAGUUGGUGAGGUAAAGGCUCACCAAGGCGACGAUAUGUAGCGGGUCUGAAAGGCUGAUCCGCCACACUGGGACCGAGACACGGCCCAGACUCCUACGGGAGGCAGCAGUGGGGGAUUUUGGACGAUGGGGGCAACCCUGAUCCAGCCAUGCCGCGUGAGUGAAGAAGGCCUUCGGGUUGUAAAGCUCUUUCGGCCGGGAAGAAAUCGCACAGGCUAAUACUCUGUGUGGAUGACGGUACCGGCAUAAGAAGCACCGGCUAACUACGUGCCAGCCGCCGCGGUAAUAC
rnacentral:rRNA from 1 species